ACGAACGCUGGCGGCACGCUUAACACAUGCAAGUCGAACGAGAGAAGAGAAGCUUGCUUUUCUGAUCUAGUGGCGGACGGGUGAGUAACACGUGAGCAAUCUGCCUUUCAGAGGGGGAUACCGAUUGGAAACGAUCGUUAAUACCGCAUAAUAUAAUUGAACCGCAUGAUUUGAUUAUCAAAGAUUUAUCGCUGAAAGAUGAGCUCGCGUCUGAUUAGCUAGUUGGUAAGGUAACGGCUUACCAAGGCGACGAUCAGUAGCCGGACUGAGAGGUUGAUCGGCCACAUUGGGACUGAGACACGGCCCAGACUCCUACGGGAGGCAGCAGUGGGGAAUAUUGCACAAUGGAGGAAACUCUGAUGCAGCGAUGCCGCGUGAGGGAAGAAGGUUUUAGGAUUGUAAACCUCUGUCUUCAGGGACGAAAAAAGACGGUACCUGAGGAGGAAGCUCCGGCUAACUACGUGCCAGCAGCCGCGGUAAUACGUAGGGAGCGAGCGUUGUCCGGAAUUACUGGGUGUAAAGGGAGCGUAGGCGGGAUCGCAAGUCAGAUGUGAAAACUAUGGGCUUAACCCAUAAACUGCAUUUGAAACUGUGGUUCUUGAGUGAAGUAGAGGUAAGCGGAAUUCCUAGUGUAGCGGUGAAAUGCGUAGAUAUUAGGAGGAACAUCAGUGGCGAAGGCGGCUUACUGGGCUUUAACUGACGCUGAGGCUCGAAAGCGUGGGGAGCAAACAGGAUUAGAUACCCUGGUAGUCCACGCCGUAAACGAUGAUUACUAGGUGUGGGGGGACUGACCCCUUCCGUGCCGCAGCAAACGCAAUAAGUAAUCCACCUGGGGAGUACGACCGCAAGGUUGAAACUCAAAGGAAUUGACGGGGGCCCGCACAAGCAGUGGAGUAUGUGGAUUAAUUCGAAGCAACGCGAAGAACCUUACCAGGUCUUGACAUCGUAUGCAUAGCUCAGAGAUGAGUGAAAUCUCUUCGGAGACAUAUAGACAGGUGGUGCAUGGUUGUCGUCAGCUCGUGUCGUGAGAUGUUGGGUUAAGUCCCGCAACGAGCGCAACCCUUACUGUUAGUUGCUACGCAAGAGCACUCUAGCAGGACUGCCGUUGACAAAACGGAGGAAGGUGGGGAUGACGUCAAAUCAUCAUGCCCCUUAUGACCUGGGCCUCACACGUACUACAAUGGCUGUUAACAGAGGGAUGCAAAGCCGCGAGGUGGAGCGAACCCCUAAAAGCAGUCUUAGUUCGGAUUGUAGGCUGCAACCCGCCUACAUGAAGUCGGAAUUGCUAGUAAUCGCAGAUCAGCAUGCUGCGGUGAAUACGUUCCCGGGCCUUGUACACACCGCCCGUCACGCCAUGGGAGUCGGUAACACCCGAAGCCUGUAGUCUAACCGCAAGGAGGACGCAGUCGAAGGUGGGAUUGAUGACUGGGGUG
rnacentral:rRNA from 1 species